AUUGAACGCUGGCGGCAUGCUUUACACAUGCAAGUCGAACGGUAACAGGCCUUCGGGUGCUGACGAGUGGCGAACGGGUGAGUAAUGCAUCGGAACGUGCCCAGAGGUGGGGGAUAACGCAGCGAAAGCUGUGCUAAUACCGCAUGUGAUCUGAGGAUGAAAGCGGGGGACCAGGCGGCAAUGUUUGGCCUCGCGCCUUUGGAGCGGCCGAUGUCAGAUUAGGUAGUUGGUGGGGUAAAGGCCUACCAAGCCGACGAUCUGUAGCUGGUCUGAGAGGACGACCAGCCACACUGGGACUGAGACACGGCCCAGACUCCUACGGGAGGCAGCAGUGGGGAAUUUUGGACAAUGGGCGCAAGCCUGAUCCAGCAAUGCCGCGUGCGGGAAGAAGGCCUUCGGGUUGUAAACCGCUUUUGUACGGAACGAAAAGGCUCUGGCUAAUACCUGGGGCUGAUGACGGUACCGUAAGAAUAAGCACCGGCUAACUACGUG
rnacentral:rRNA from 1 species